AUUCCCAUUACAGACUAGAGUUUCUGAUGUCUCCGUGACGCCAUUGCUCGGAACUGACCCAGCCCGGACCAAGGUGAAGUUGAUGGACUCGACCAAGGCCUCUGCUGACGCGUCUUUUUUGUUCCCCUUUUCUCCAGGUCCCCGAGUCCCGCAGCAUGGUGGCGCAGGGAGUGGGUGCUGGACUGCUAACCGCAAGGUCAGCAGUUCAAAACCCCUAGUCACUCCCCCGGCGAGAACGAGGCUUUUUAAAACUGCCGUAAAGCGUUGCCGGGUCCCGAUGGCCGUGAGAGCCCGCCAGGCAUCUGCCUGCAGCACCACAAGUGCCUCGGUCCGUCAAGCUGUUGUCAUUGAAUAAAGUGAGAGCCACGGGAGCUCAGCCAGUACCCUUUCCAGCAUGGCGGCCUUAACUCGAUUACUGAAGGACUGGAGUCUGCCUGCUUCUUGCAGAAGCACUUUCAGAUGCCCCUUCUAAAGCAUGGCAGCCGUGGAUUUUACACACACCCAAGAAUGUGUCACCUGCCUGGGGUUGGACGGAUCCUGAGGACUUGACAUCGGCUUGUGUAUUAGCACGAGCAACUGACAACUGAAGGAGAUCUCUAGAAGUGCUGGAUGACUUAGUGACGAGCAGGUGGCUUUCACCCGUAUUUCGUUAUCUUAUACAAGUGCCUGCUUUUUAGUCGAUUGCAAUAAAAUGUUGAUAAGUGGCUUUUUUUGUCUUUCUGGAAAUAAGAUGGUACAAAACUAUUGGAGAUGGUGAAGGGUAUAAUGCCCUAUUGACUUUUAACAUUGGGGUUUUGAUGGUGCUGAAUAAUAUCAUGGGCCCCUAAUUGGCCUUUUGAUGUAUCCAUGGAAAGAUCAUUUCUCUUAGAGGGGAUUCUGUUCAUGGUGCUCAUCAGGAUAUGAGCAUUUAACAAUUUUAGGCACCUUGUACCUGCGAGGACAGGAGCCCUAGUAGGGAAUUACUCUCUUAGAGGUGUCAGCAGCCUGCUCUGCAGGAGAGCGAUAGGGGCUUUCUACCUCUAGAAAGAGUUGUCAGGAAUAGACAGUUCUACCCUGUCCUGUGAGGUUUGAGAUUUUUACACCCUAGAAGGUAUGAAGUGCCUGCUAGAGAUGCUGAUGUGUGGUCCGAAUGGAAUGUCAGUUCUUAACCCCUCACUUGACACUCCAAAAUGUCCCAAGUUAAAUACUGUGAUUUUUUUAAUGGGUGUAAUUUUUAAAAAUCAUUUUACUGCGAGCUCAUACAUAAAUAGGUAAUUUUUGUUAAAAUUCUAAGUCCCUCACUGGUUCCUUGGAGUUUUAGAAUAUACAUGGUUAAUAACGGCUUCCUAUGUUCCCACCUUGCUUCUUUCAGCCUUGUUAGCCAUUCAUUCACUGCACUGCUCUAGCCCUUUCCCCCCCUAGUCCCCAUCAUUUUACCUGUGCUCCGCUCACCCACCCCACUGCCCCUGCUCUGGAUCUGCUGUCACAAUAAUCUGCAUAUAACCCCC